UGGCAGGUAGCACAACGGUCGUGCGGCUGGCUGUUACCCAGCACUAUGCAGGUUCGAAUCCUGCCCUGCCAGCCA
rnacentral:tRNA from 1 species